GAUGAAGAACGCAGCGAAAUGCGAUACGUAAUGUGAAUUGCAAAUUCAGUGAAUCAUCGAGUCUUUGAACGCACAUUGCGCCCCCUGGUAUUCCGGGGGGCAUGCCUGUCCGAGCGUCAUUGCUGCCCUCAAGCACGGCUUGUGUGUUGGGCCCCGUCCUCCGAUCCCGGGGGACGGGCCCGAAAGGCAGCGGCGGCACCGCGUCCGGUCCUCGAGCGUAUGGGGCUUUGUCACCCGCUCUGUAGGCCCGGCCGGCGCUUGCCGAUCAACCCAAAUUUUUAUCCAGGUUGACCUCGGAUCAGGUAGGGAUACCCACUGAACUUAAGCAUAUCAAAAGCGGAGGA
rnacentral:misc_RNA from 1 species